ensembl:snRNA U6 U6 spliceosomal RNA
GUGUUCACUUCAGCAGCAUAUAUACUAAUACUGCAAUGAUACAGAAAAGAUUGGCAUGGUACCUGUGCAAAGAUGGCGGGAAAAUUCAUGAGGCACUCCAUAUUUUU